rnacentral:rRNA from 1 species
AUUGAACGCUGGCGGCAGGCUUAACACAUGCAAGUCGAGCGGGGUGAUGGUGCUUGCACUAUCACUUAGCGGCGGACGGGUGAGUAAUGCUUAGGAAUCUGCCUAUUAGUGGGGGACAACAUCUCGAAAGGGAUGCUAAUACCGCAUACGUCCUACGGGAGAAAGCAGGGGAUCACUUGUGACCUUGCGCUAAUAGAUGAGCCUAAGUCGGAUUAGCUAGUUGGUGGGGUAAAGGCCUACCAAGGCGACGAUCUGUAGCGGGUCUGAGAGGAUGAUCCGCCACACUGGGACUGAGACACGGCCCAGACUCCGACGGGGGGCAGCAGGGGGGAAUAUUGGACAAUGGGGGGAACCCUGAUCCAGCCAUGCCGCGUGUGUGAAGAAGGCCUUAUGGUUGUAAAGCACUUUAAGCGAGGAGGAGGCUCUUUUGGUUAAUACCCAAGAUGAGUGGACGUUACUCGCAGAAUAAGCACCGGCUAACUCUGUGCCAGCAGCCGCCGUAAUAC